UGGUGAGGUGUGUGUGUAUGAUGUGGUGUGUGUAUGGUGAGGUGUGUGUAUGGUGAGUGGUGUGUGUAUGGUGAGAUGUAUGUAUGGUGAGGUGUGUGUAUGUAUGGUGAGGUGUGUGUGUAUGAUGUCUAUACAGUAUAUGUGUGUGAUGUAUGUUGUAUAUAUGUGGUGUGUGUGGUGUGUAUGUGUGUGUCGGAUGCAUGUGGUGUAUGUGUGCAGGGUGUGUGUAUGGUGUGUGGUAUGUGUGUGGUGUGUGUAUGGGGUGUGUGUCUGUGUGUGUGCUGUGUGUUGGGCCCAGGGCCCAAGAAGGAAGCAAGACUGCCCAGGGAAAUGCCACCCUGGAGAGGCCUCCGUUCCUCCCUGCCCAUCCUCCCCCUCCCCCUGCAUCCAUCCCUACUCAUCCCUGUCCCCCUCCAUCCCUCCCUGUCCAUCCCUCCAGUUCCCCUCCGUCCCUCCCUGCCCAUCCCUGUCCCCCUCCGUCCCUCCCUGCCCAUCUCUGUCCUCCUGUCCCUCCCUGCCCAUCCCUGUCCCCCUCCGUCC
rnacentral:lncRNA from 1 species